UGACAAACGUCUAAGGAGAUAUAGGGUAUAAGAAUUUUGCUGACGUCAGCAAAGUCCCUACCAAAUGUUCCAAAAAAAAAUUCUUCACAAAUUCGUACACCCGUUGCAUUCAUAGAUGCAUUUAUAGAUCUUGAAAUGCUGAUCAAGAAAAUGUGUAGGAACAUGAACUUUUGACAAACGGUUGCAGAGAUAUUAGGGUUUGUAGGUUUCGUGAUGACGUCAUCAACCCGUCCAUUCCGAAACGGAUUCAAGGGCCCAGGUUUGGGAAACUUACCCAAAUUGGUCCCAGGUGGUCCCUAGUUACCCACGCGGUAAAAAAUCAUUGACGUCACCACCUCGUUUCCAAGUUAUUUGGCCUCAAAGUUUUAAGUGCACUGUAACGGCUUCAUUAAUUUAAUAUAGGAUAUUGACGUUAAAGUAGUGUUAUUGAGGUCGCACCGUAACGUCAGAAAAUUUAACAUAUUAGACAUGCAUUUUUCGGUUACUUCAAAGAAAAUUUCGGUAAGAUCAAAGGAAAAUGACGAUAUCAACUUUGUCUGUCACAAAAACACGGAACUGGCGCAUUAUUAUACAGAUAGAGGUCAUGACGUCAUGGACCGAACGCAGUGAGGUCCAUGCGAGUGACAGAGGUCUGAUUAUUUCAUAAUAACUAUUAAUGAAAAAAAAAGUUUUAGAGUCCAGGGUUCUUUACCAAAAACAAGACUUAGAUGGAAACCACGUAACUUUCUUUAUAUUUCGAAUGUACACAGACAUUUGAUCCACAAUUUAUUUAAAAAGAAACAAUACAAUACAACUUUUAAAAAUAGAAUAUUUCAAAACAGUUUUAAAAUUCAAUUCUUUGUCGUUUUGCUGGUGGAGUGUUCGUAUUAAAAUUAAAUGUACAAUUGUUAAAAUUUCCUCCGAAAGAAAAUGAAGAGAGGGUGGAAGACUGCGUGGAACUGGAAAUAUUAAGAGCUGUCGAUUGGUUGUAUGUCGGCUAAUACGGCGUCAUAUAGACUGGUCACGUGAAAAAAAAAUCAAUUAAAUUUUCCAAAAACGUUCGAAUAAACGUAAACAUUCGAGAAUACUCAACAGUGGGGUAAUAGUUAGGGAUACUGUAUAGUUUAGACACAUUAUUUUGUCUAUUCAUCUUUAUAAAAGUUCUGUUUCUUUGAUAAAAUUAUUUAUUAGAUAUAAAAACAAAUUUUAUUGUUUAUAAAUUAAAUUAUAUUGUUUUUAAAGAGAACAUAUCAAUUCUAAUCUACAUUUUAGUUUUUUAAUAAAACGACUAAAACUCC